GGGCGAAUAGUUCAGCUGGAUAGAAUACAGGUUUGCGGUAUCUGUGACCAGGGUUCAAAUCCCUGUUUGCCCA
rnacentral:tRNA from 1 species